UACGUAGGGUGCUAGCGUUGUUCGGAAUCAUUGGGCGUAAAGCGCGUGUAGGCUGUUAGUUAAGUCGGGUGUGAAAUCCCUGGGCUCAACCGAGGAAGUGCAUCCGAAACUAACUAGCUAGAAGAUGGUAGAGGAAGGUGGAAUUCCUAGUGUAGAGGUGAAAAUUCGUAGAUAUUAGGAGGAAUACCGGUGGCGAAGGCGGCCUUCUGGACCAUUCUUGACGCUGAGACGCGAAAGCGUGGGGAGCAAACAGG
rnacentral:rRNA from 1 species